rnacentral:rRNA from 1 species
CACGAAAUAAUACGAGUUAAUUCAUAAUAGUAUAUAGGCUUAAAGUAUGUUGCAUAAUAUAAUAUAAUUAUGAAUUAGGGGUGAUAGGCUUACCAAGUUUUAAGAUAUCUUGAUAUCUUUUAAAAACAACAGUGUUUAAGACAGCUAAAUAGUGAUAAGGCUAUUUAGAGACAUAAAUAUAUAAUUUACUUUCGUGCAUGAUUUAACAAUUAGCUAAUAUGGAUAUUAUUAUUAAUAUAUUUAAAUUAUGUAUUAAAUAAAGAUAUUUUAUAAAUUAUAAUGAAAAAUUAUAAUGUAAUUAUUAGUCAUUAUUAAAGAUAUUAUUAAUGAACUCGGCAAUAUAUCUUUCAACUGUUUAUCAAAAACAUUGUCAUGUGUAACUACACAUGAUAUUUCUGCUCAAUGAAUUUUUAAAUAGCCGCAGUACCCUGACUGUGCAAAGGUAGCGUAAUAAAUUGACUUAUAAUUGAAGUCCUGUAUGAACGAAAUUUUGAGGGAUAACUGUAUCAAUAAUAUAAAUUAAAUUUACUAAGUAAGUACAAAUACUUAUAUUUAAAAGAUAGACGAGAAGACCCUAGAAAUUUUAAUAAGUUGCUGAUCAAUAUUUUUGUUGGGGCAACAAGGUAACAAGUAACUUACCAUUAAUUUACAAGAAAUAGUUUAGUUAGAAUAAAUUACUCUAGGGAUAACAGCGUAAUUAAUAAUAGUUUGCGACCUCGAUGUUGGACUAGGGAACUGUUGCUUAGAA